AGGGCACCACCAGGAGUGGAGCCUGCGGCUUAAUUUGACUCAACACGGGGAAACUCACCCGGCCAGGACACAAUAAGGAUUGACAGAUUGAUAGCUCUUUCUUGAUUUUGUGGGUGGUGGUGCAUGGCCGUUCUCAGUUGGUGGAGCGAUUUGUCUGGUUAAUUCCGAUAACGAACGAGACUCUAGCCUAUUAAAUAGACGAUAUAUCUUCUUCGUAUAUCGAGCUUCUUAGAGGGACGAGCAGCUUCUAGCUGCACGAGAUUGGGCAAUAACAGGUCUGUGAUGCCCUUAGAUGUCCGGGGCUGCACGCGCGCUACAAUGAAAAUAGCAGCGCGUGUCGAAAACCUUUUCUGGAAAGAAUUGGUAAACGCGAAAUAUUUUCGUGAUAGGGAUAGGGGAUUGAAAUUAUUGCCCUUGAACGAGGAAUUCCCAGUAAAUUCGAGUCAUCAGCUCGAGUUGAUUACGUCCCUGCCCUUUGUACACACCGCCCGUCGCUACUACCGAUUGGAAGAUUGAGUG
rnacentral:rRNA from 1 species